ensembl:ncRNA C45B2.11 ncRNA
AGAAAAGAGCAUCGGAAAUCAUUGUCCUUGUCUAUUCUGACCUUUCAUUUCUUUUCAACGUUUU